UAAUUAUUUCGUCAUGGUUCAAUGAGCAUGUGUCAUAAAAUUGUAAACUUCCGGUAGACACCACUUCCUGAAGAUCAUCAAGCAAAUAAAUUCUGGGUUAUAACAGUUGACACCCUUCGUCGAUCAGUCCUGAAAACAAAUUAUUUAAGUGCUGUUGUUUGUAGAUAGAAUAAAACAAGCUGUCAUUGUUCGAGAGGACAGUUUCCAAUCUUUUAACCAGCCCAAGACACCUCUAACAUCAACAAUCUAUAAAAAAAAUAAUUUAGUAAUGCAAGGCAAAGCAUGACUUAACAUCUAAAAUAAUAUGUACAUGAUAGACAUUUCAUUCUAGAACAUGGCAAAUGCAAUUCCAGAUGAUAGUCCGAGAGACACGAAGGAGAUUGAGAAAGGAAGGGAAAUGCAAAAUGGGAGUGCUAUGGCUCAUGUCGAUAGAUUUGGUUUCAUGGGUGGUGACCAAUAUACUGACCCAGACGAUGAACACAGGAUCUCUUUUGAGAAAUUAAGGAAAAGAGAGAUGAAAUGGCUGGAAAUGUUUGAAAAUUGGGAAAAAUGUAUGAGUAAAAGAUUUAAAAAGAUAAGAGAAAGAUGUCGUAAAGGUAUUCCCCCUUCCCUGAGGUCAAGGGCAUGGCAGUAUUUAUGUGGUAGUAAAUUCCUAAUGGAACAGAAUGCAGGGAGAUAUCAGGAGUAUUUAAAAAGACCUAUUAAACCUCAGUGGGAAGAUGAUAUCAAAAAAGAUUUACACAGACAAUUCCCAGCUCAUGAAAUGUUUACAGCUCGAGGAGGACAUGGCCAAGAAGAUUUAUUCUGGAUCUUGAAAGCUUACACAAUACACAAUCCACAUGAUGGGUACUGCCAAGCUCAGGGACCAAUAGCAGCUAUCUUACUAAUGCAUAUGCCAGCUGAGCAAGCUUUCUGGUGUCUAGUAUCUAUUUGUGAGAAGUAUUUGCCUGGGUAUUACAGCCCUGGUUUGGAAGCUGUACAAGUAGAUGGAGACGUUCUGUUUGGUUUACUGAAAAAGACUUCUCUACCAAUACACAAACAUCUAAAAAAGCAGAAAAUGGAGCCAAUAUUAUAUAUGACUGAGUGGUUUAUGUGUGUGUUUACUAGAACGUUGCCAUGGGGAUGUGUAUUACGUGUAUGGGACAUGUUUCUGUGUGAAGGUGUCAAGGUUGUAUUCAGGGUAGCUUUAGUACUGUUCAGAAUAGCACUUGGAGAACCAGGGUGUUUAUCUCAAUGUCCUACAAUUAGAACAUUGUUAUAUUUCAGGUGUCAAGGUUGUAUUCAGGGUAGCUUUAGUACUGUUCAGAAUAGCACUUGGAGAACCAGGGUGUUUAUCUCAAUGUCCUACAAUGUAUGAAACUCUGGAGAAAUUAAGAAGACUACCGAUACAGACAUUAGAGGAAGAAUACUUAGUGCAAGAGUCAUUACGGCUCAAUAUAACAGAAAGAGAUAUGGAAAAGGAGCAUCAAAAACAAAUACAACGGAGACAAAAGACAAAAGAAUUAAAUGGAGAUAAACCAGGCAGACAUAAACAUAGAUAAGACUCAAUAAGAAAUCAUAUGAUCAACAAAAUAUAAGGCAUUUGAUUGGCGUAAACUUUAGUCAAAGGACAUGUGAUCAACACACAACAAAAUACAAGGCAUUUGAUUGGCGUAAACCAUAGUCAAAGGUCAUGUGAUCACAAUGUCAAUUAACAAUGGUCACAAGCCAUGUGACAUAAAUAAUGAAUCAAGAGGUACACAUGAAAGACAUGUGAUCACAGCCUAUGUCAUUUGACCUAUGUCAUGUGACAUGUUGGUAUAUAGGGUAAUGAUAUUAUUGGAUGAAAUUGUUUUGUAAUUUAGGCUUUGUACUUAAAUGAUUAUUUAUUUAUGCAUUUGAAAAUAGUUUUUGGCAUCAGUGAUAGCAUAAGUUACAAUGUUGAAAUAGCCUGUAGAGCUUCUAUAUUACGGUACUUACAUAACACACCUGUCCUGAGAGAGAAAUUGUGUUGUUUUCUUAUAGAUAGAAUGUAUUAUGUACACAACCUGUGCUCAGUGGAAAACAGAACUUUACUGUCAUACUUUAAAUAACACUUAAAUGUACAGAAAAACUCCAUCACGGUUUUAAUGGUAAGUAAAACAUCAACAUCAGAUAAACUAAACAUGAUAUUGCAAUGCAAUUGUCUGUUUUUAUAAAGGAAUUAGCUCAUAAGCUGAUCAAGGUAAGUUUGUUAUCUCUGUUUCUAAAUCAUAACAUGAAAAUGUAGAUGGUAGAUGUAUGAUUGUCUGUUAUACAGCUUUCAAUCAGAAGACAUUUAGUUGGUUAGCACAUGUUUAUUGGAGCAUGUAGAUGUGGUAUGAUUGUCUGUUAUACAGCUUUCCAUCAGUAGACAUUUAGUUGGUUAGCACAUGUUUAUUGGAGCUUGCCUUGUAAUAACGUAAUGAAAGUGCCAGUAUGUUUGACAUAGAGACAGAGGGAUUAUAUUCUUUCAGCUUCAUGGGCAUGCAUUAUUUAUAUUAAGAUUGUUAUGGUUUGUCAAGUGCUUAAAAGUGUACAGCACUUCCACUAAAGGGGAAACAUUUUUUGUAACUUUUUUUUGUCAGUUAUUACUGUUCUGCUCUGGUACUUUCAAUGGUUAUUUGUAAAACAUUUGUUAUAGUGUGUCUAUAAGUUUCCCAUUUUACAGUGUUUCCCCAAUUAUUACCAUUUUGACCAAUGUUAUGUGUUAAAUGAUCUCCUUAAUAUUGUUAUAAAUAUUGUGUUCAUAGUUACAAGUAUGGUUCUUCAGAAUGAUAUUUUAUUCAAUUUUGUUUUUUUUAUGUACUCUGUUACCAUAGUAACAGAUCAUACUAAGAAGCAGUAACUUACAUCUUUGAAUCUAUAUUAUUUAGAUUUUUAUACCUUUGAUAGUAGAAUAGAUGUAGAAAAAAUUUAUGGACUGUUUCAAAAUCAUGUUUAACCCUUUCACAAUUUUUUAGCCAGUCAAGUUCAGUGGAUGUUUUUGGUAGAAGUCUUCUUCUUUUUUUUAAUACUACUUCCUUUAUAAUUGAAGCUUGGUUUUCUUUUGAAUUUGGUCGCAAAAAUUAACCCCUUUAUGUCAGCCUUAAAUGUAGCUAUUGUAAGUUCUAUGUUCUUUGAAAAUGUCUUUUAAAGAUUCAUUUGAAAAGAAGUAGGAUACUUUUGUUUCAUACAGGCUGAUAUAUAAAUUUGACACAAGCUUCCAAUUGAUCUUAAAUAAAAAGAAGAGAUGCAGAAGAUAUGAGGGGUAUUAGCUAUGUUCCUUAACUUAACGAAUAUUUAUCUGCAGUUAUUGAAUAUUUAUUGUUUUUCGUGGAAACAAUAAAUUUAUCACAGAAAUCUGUUAUAAAUGUUUAAGGUUAGUGCUAUUAUAAGUUAUGUAUGUAAUUCCUACUCUUUCAGGCAUUUACUUACUCAGAGUUAUCUGCUUAAAUCAAGAAUAAAUGAUUGAGAUAAUUGAGACCUACACUAGCUGUAUAAUAUGUUUACUAAUAAAUAGGAUUUUAGAGUUACUCAUGUUACCUCAGGUAAAAGGCUGGUAUGUUGGUUUAGUGUACAUUUCCUAAAACUCUGAUCAUUUUAUUGUCCAUGUAUUUUUGUGUUCCAUUGUUAUUAUGUUACUAUGGUAACACAACUUGAACUGUGAUAUUUCAUUUUAAUAUAUAUAAUCAGUCAUGUUUGUCUCAUUUUAAAUGGUGCUUUUAUUAGAAAAUUACUUAGUUGUCAGUGUAUUGUAGCCACUAAAGUUAUAUUCUGUUGGUACUUAUUGAUAAAGGUACUUGUCAGUGAGUUGUAGCCACUAAAGUUAUAUUCUGUUGGUACUUAUUGAUAAAGGUACUUGUCAGUGAGUUGUAGCCACUAAAGUUAUAUUCUGUUGGUACUUAUUGAUAAAGGUACUUGUCAGUGAGUUGUAGCCACUAAAGUUAUAUUCUGUUGGUACUUAUUGAUAAAGGUACUUGUCAGUGAGUUGUAGCCACUAAAGUUAUAUUCUGUUGGUACUUAUUGAUAAAGGUACUUGUCAGUGAGUUGUAGCCACUAAAGUUAUAUUCUGUUGGUACUUAUUGAUAAAGGUACUUGUCAGUGAGUUGUAGCCACUAAAGUUAUAUUCUGUUGGUACUUAUUGAUAAAGGUACUUGUCAGUGAGUUGUAGCCACUAAAGUUAUAUUCUGUUGGUACUUAUUGAUAAAGGUACUUGUCAGUGAGUUGUAGCCACUAAAGUUAUAUUCUGCUGGUACUAAUACAUGAAAAGGAUAAGUAUUAACAAAAACAAAAAAAUCUUGGUGUGCAAUAACUACUUAUUUGCUUGUAACUAUUGAUAUACAACAUGAAAGAUGUUUCAGUCAAGUGUGUCUCAUAUUUAAAUAAUGAUACAUAAAUCAGAUAGAAUAUUUUAAAGAAAAGAUGAAAACAGAAUCUUUACAAAUGAAAGAUUGAAAAUGAUAUCAAUUUUACUUCAAAUUGUUGCUAGAUUGAUCGGUAAUUGAUACAACUGUGUUAUGAUUUUCAAUUAUAUACUUCAAACAAUAAGCUGAAUUGCACAACUUUAACUUGUUAACCAUUGAAAAUUCAGAAAUUAUUGUGAUGUUUAUAAUGAAUUCCUUACAAAUACUAACAUUGGCCAAUUAUGGUAUAAUACGUUUCGGUCAGUAUCACACUAAUAAGAACUUGUGUACUGAUAUAUGAUCCUUUUAUCUGUAUAUACAUUUCCCCUGAAAUCAAAAUAAUUAGUCUGGCAUUUUUGUCCCUUCUUUCAAAAACAAUAAUAAAUUCACAAAAUAACUUCUGAUUUUAUAAAAAAGAGCCUUAACUGAUCAAAAUCCCAUUUCAGUGGUAAGUUUUGAUUUUGUAGGUGAAUUUCUCUUUUCUGUAUCAUGUAUAAGCAUUGUGUAUGCUUUAGAAAAAAACAUGGGCAGUCAGUCUUUGUAAUUGUUGGACUAGCCAGACAGAAACAUAAGGAAUAUAUUUAGUCAACAAUUUUCUUUAUAUCUGUAUUUUAUGGUUAACAAAAGCAUCAAUUUAAUAUGACAUAAAUGAACUGUUUAAUUUGACUAUCUUAUUUCUUCAGGAAAACAUUGAAAACAUUUUAUGGCUAUGAUACACUGAUAAUCUAGUUCAUACAUUUUGUUUCUGUAUAUAAUAUGUUGAUAUAUUAGAUGGAUGAAUGGUUUUGAUGUAUGGAUUAUGGAUGGAUGUUUAUUGAUAUCAGUGCUAUUUGUACAAGUCUUCAAUAAUUAUAAUGUAAUUUUUAUUGUUAUUUUUCUUGUUUGAUUUAAUUUGAUUUGUUAAAGGCAACAAUAUUUAAAUUAUGAGAUUUCAUAUAUUGGUCUGUGAACUUUCUUUUUUAACUUGAUUUUUCUCACGACUAUCCGUGUAAGAAACAUUUUACCCUUAGAUUGCAUAUACUUUUGAAAUUUUGCUUUUAUUUUGGUCAGAAUGAUAAUCUUUGUCAGGAUAAUUUUGUUUUGCCAUCCUUCUGUAUGGUAUAUUGUAAGAAUUGAGGAUCCAAAAUUAUUUUUUUUUGUUCUGCCUAUUUGCCUUUGUAUAUGUUGUUGAAGAUAUAACCUGUGUUGACAGGUUAACCUUUUUUAUUGGUCCAUUUUGAAUUGCAUGCCUAAUAGACAAAUAUAUCAUGUUAGGUGCGCAUGCUUUUAUCAAGGUUUUUUAUACUGCCAGUCGUUACUUAUUUAGUUCGAAAUGCUCAAACAUGUCUUAAAUUUCAAAAAAAGACAGUGAAAUGAUUGGUUGGUAACUAUCUGAAAGUAGCUGUUCAGCAAAUGCCUUUUUUAUGGUAAACACCCAAUGAUUUUAUUGGUUGGAAACAUACUAGAAUUAGACAUUUGGUCGAUGUAAGUAUUUGUAAGGAAAAUUAAUGAUAAUUUCAUUUGGGGAGAUUCAUGUUGUAAUAAGCAUGAAUUGUAAAUACUUUUGUUUACAUUCACAUCUUUUGUGAAAUUCCAACAGUGGUAUUGAUUUCUUAAAUGCAAAAUCUAAUUCUGCUUAUAAUUUUGUACUUUAAGUGCCAGUCUUUGUAAGAAUCAGGCAAUUUUGAAAAAAAUCAAAACAUGGCUGUAAAAAAACCCACAUACCUACAUGUAGCCAUCCUAUUUUGAAGUAACACUCAUCCUGAGUUAGAAAUGGUAGGUCUUUAGUGUCUGCGUGUCUGGUAACUUGAGAAAUCUUUAGAUAAACUUUGUUAUUGUUUGUGUCAUUUUGGUCUUUUGUAGAUAGUUGUCUCAUUGGCAAUCAUACCACAUAUUCUUUUUUAUAUUUGGUUAGAAUGAUAGCAAAUUACAGAGUAAGCUCCCCUUAAUUGUCAAUUUCUAGUACAUUGUAACCAAAUUUAUCUCCAAUUACCAGAACAGGACAUUGAAACGACUGGUAUAUUUUUGCAUCAUUAUACAUUUUGAACAUAAAUUAAUGUUAACCUCAGUGGGUUUUGGUUUGUCAUGUUUUCACAACUGCCUGAUUCUUUGGAAGACUAGCACUUAAAUCUAAAGGGAUCAAGGAGUGAUUGUAUUUACUUUUAUGUUUUUUUCAAGGUCUGAAGCAAAACACAAGUUUCCCAUACAAAGGUCAGACGAUAGAAUAGUUUAAAAAAAAGGUUUACAAAGAUAAUUAUUGUUAAUGAAACACUUGCCUAUUGCUAUACCUUAUAAAGAAGUCAUAAUAAUACUUUGGGACUGAUUGAUAAAGGAUUACAAUUUAUGCAACAAGUUAAUCUAAAAAGGCAAAAUAAUUAUAAAUAUAAACUUUCUAUUCCUGACACCUAAAUGAACACAUCUAUAAAUGCAUGCGUAGCUAUUAGUUCAACCUUUAUACAAAUGGGUUAUGUUUAGUUUCAAACAGAAAACAUUAAACUAUAUGAUAGUCAUUUACUGUACACUUUUUUACCAUUCCAAUUGAAAUGUCAAGGGACCUACCGAAGAUAUGUAAUAAAAUUGAAUUAUAUCAA